CAGCUUGCUGGUGUGGAUGAGUGGCGAACGGGUGAGUAAUACGUGAGUAACCUGCCCUUGACUCUGGGAUAAGCCCGGGAAACUGGGUCUAAUACUGGAUGCUACAUGUCACCGCAUGGUGGUGUGUGGAAAGGGUUUACUGGUCUUGGAUGGGCUCACGGCCUAUCAGCUUGUUGGUGAGGUAAUGGCUCACCAAGGCGACGACGGGUAGCCGGCCUGAGAGGGUGACCGGCCACACUGGGACUGAGACACGGCCCAGACUCCUACGGGAGGCAGCAGUGGGGAAUAUUGCACAAUGGGCGAAAGCCUGAUGCAGCGACGCCGCGUGAGGGAUGACGGCCUUCGGGUUGUAAACCUCUUUCAGCAGGGAAGAAGCCACAAGUGACGGUACCUGCAGAAGAAGCGCCGGCUAACUACGUGCCAGCAGCCGCGGUAAUACGUAGGGCGCAAGCGUUGUCCGGAAUUAUUGGGCGUAAAGAGCUCGUAGGCGGUUUGUCGCGUCUGCUGUGAAAGCCCGGGGCUUAACCCCGGGUGUGCAGUGGGUACGGGCAGACUAGAGUGCAGUAGGGGAGACUGGAAUUCCUGGUGUAGCGGUGGAAUGCGCAGAUAUCAGGAGGAACACCGAUGGCGAAGGCAGGUCUCUGGGCUGUUACUGACGCUGAGGAGCGAAAGCAUGGGGAGCGAACAGGAUUAGAUACCCUGGUAGUCCAUGCCGUAAACGUUGGGCACU
rnacentral:rRNA from 3 species